AGUGUUUCUGUUGCCAAGACGGCAAAGAGUGUGCCUGCGGGGGUGGAGAGUGCUGCAUCACAGGAAAGUGCUGUCAGGAAGGAGAUGGAACUUGCUGUGGAAAAUGUUCAAAUGCUGCAUGCAAGUGUGCCGAUGGCUGCAAAUGUGAAGGCGCCUGUGCCUGUACUAUGGGAAACUGCACGUGCUAGAUCAUCAAGACCAUUUCCAGAUUGUCAUCUCUUCUGCAAACUUCCAAGCGGAUUUCAUUAAUGUUUAUUUGUGUAUACUUUUUGUAACAUAAUGUAUAUUUAUUAUCUUACUCAUUUUGAAAUUAUUCUUUCAAGAUUUUCUUUUACUACUUCGAAAUUAUAUUAUUUGAACAUUGACAAUAUUUGCUAUAAAAUAUGCUAUAAUUAAAA